rnacentral:rRNA from 1 species
CCUACGGGGUGCAGCAGUGAGGAAUAUUGGUCAAUGGACGAGAGUCUGAACCAGUCAAGUAGCGUGAAGGAUGACUGCCCUAUGGGUUGUAAACUUCUUUUAUAUGGGAAUAAAACGUUCCACGUGUGGGAUUUUGUAUGUACCAUAUGAAUAAGGAUCGGCUAACUCCGUGCCAGCAGCCGCGGUAAUACGGAGGAUCCGAGCGUUAUCCGGAUUUAUUGGGUUUAAAGGGAGCGUAGGUGGAUUGUUAAGUCAGUUGUGAAAGUUUGCGGCUCAACCGUAAAAUUGCAGUUGAAACUGGCAGUCUUGAGUACAGUAGAGGUGGGCGGAAUUCGUGGUGUAGCGGUGAAAUGCUUAGAUAUCACGAAGAACUCCGAUUGCGAAGGCAGUUCACUGGACUGCAACUGACACUGAGGCUCGAAAGUGUGGGUAUCAAACAGGAUUAGAUACCCUUGUAGUC